GCGCUCACUGCGGCAGCACGUGCACUAAAGCUGGACCAAUACAGACAUUAGCGUGGGCCCUGCGCAAGGAUGACGUGCACAUUCGUGAAGCGUUCCACAUUUUU